rnacentral:lncRNA from 1 species
UAGGAGUCUAAUUUAUGUUAGUUAAAUUAACAUAAAAGUACAUUUUCAUCUAUUGUAUGCAUGUACAUGGGGUCGGUGUUGGGUCUGGUCUUGUUCAACAUCUUCAUCGAUGACCUUGAUGAGGGAAUAGUGUCUUCCCUCAGCAAGUAUGCUGAUGACACAAAGCUGGGAGGAGUGGCUGACACGCCAGAAGGCUGUGCUGCCAUGCAGCAAGACCUGGACAGGAUGGAGAGAUGGACAGGAAGAAACCAAAUGAGGUUUAACAAGAGCAAGUGUAGAGUCCUGCACCUGGGAAGGAACAACCACAUGUAUCAGUACAGGCUGGGGAAUGACCUGCUGGAGAGGAGCUCUGAGGAGAAGGACCUGGGGGUCCUGGUGGACGACAGGUUGACCAUGAGCCAGCAGUAUGCUCUCGUGGCCAAGAGGGCCAAUGGGAUCCUGGCGUGCAUUAAAAGGAGUGUGGCCAGCAGGUCAAGAGAGGUGAUCCUCUCCCUCUACUCUGCUCUGGUCAGGCCUCACCUGGAGUACUGCGUCCAGUUCUGGGAUCCCCAGUACAAAAAAGACAGGGAUCUCCUGGUAAGAGUCCAGCGGAGGGCCACAAAGAUGAUACGGGGCCUGGAGCAUCUUCCUUAUGAGGAAAGGCUGAGAGACCUGGGUCUGUUCAGCCUGGAGAAAGGAAGACUGAGAGGGGAUCUCAUCAAUGUGUAUAAAUACCUGAGGUGUGGGAGACAGAGGGAUUUGGCCAACCUCUUUUCAGUGGUUUGCAGGGACAGGACAAGGAGUAAUGGCCACAAGAUGGAGAACAGAAAGUUCUGCACCAACAUGCAAAAGAACUUCUUCACAGUGAGGGUGACGGAGCACUGGAACAGGCUGCCCAGGGAGGUUGUGGAGUCUCCUUCUCUGGAGAUAUUUAAGGCCUGUCUGGACGCCCACCUGGGCAGCCUGCUCUAAGGAACCUGCUUUGGCAGGGGGGUUGGACCUGAUAAUCUUUCAAGGUCCCUUCCAACUGCUUCGGUUCUGUGAUUCUGUGAAAUGUGGAUGAAAGUGAAUUUUGGCUUAUUUAAGUUUUAGCCCUUUUUUCUAGGUAUUUGGUGUCAAUCUGACUGUAUUGCCUUGACUAGGCAUGUAUCCUUCUAGCAGCCUUUCAACUUCACAUUAGUCAUUUAAUAUACGUGUAUACACUGAAGAAUUAAAUUAUGAAUAUCUGUUCUGUGAUACAGAUCAUUAUGUAUGUAUUCC